rnacentral:rRNA from 1 species
AGUGAACGCUGGCGGCAGGCCUAAUACAUGCAAGUCGAACGGCAGCACAGCAGAGCUUGCUCUGUGGGUGGCGAGUGGCGGACGGGUGAGGAAUACAUGGGAAUCUGCCCAGUCGUGGGGGAUAACGUAUGGAAACGUACGCUAAUACCGCAUGCGCCCUACGGGGGAAAGUCGGGGACCGCAAGGCCUGACGCGAUUGGAUGAGCCCAUGUUCGAUUAGCUAGUUGGCGGGGUAAAGGCCCACCAAGGCGACGAUCGAUAGCUGGUCUGAGAGGAUGAUCAGCCACACUGGAACUGAGACACGGUCCAGACUCCUACGGGAGGCAGCAGUAGGGAAUAUUGGACAAUGGGGGCAACCCUGAUCCAGCCAUGCCGCGUGAGUGAAGAAGGCCCUCGGGUUGUAAAGCUCUUUUGUCCGGAAAGAAAGCAAUCGGUUAAUACCCGGUUGUUCUGACGGUACCGGAAGAAUAAGCACCGGCUAACUACGUGCCAGC